GGCUGGUCCGAGUGCAGUGGUGUUUACAACUAAUUGAUCACAACCAGUUACAGAUUUCUUUGUUCCUUCUCCACUCCCACUGCUUCACUUGACUAGCCUAUA
ensembl:misc_RNA Y_RNA Y RNA